rnacentral:RNase_P_RNA from 1 species
GGUGGAGGGAAACCCAUUAUCAAGACAACACAUUGAGUGUGGAGUCACUCCCCAGCCCUUGGGAGGGUCUGAGACUGGGGCCACCUGGGGCCUUAACAGGGGCCCUCCUGGAGCUGGGAGGUGAGUUUCCAGAGACCAGAGAGCACUGCCCCCUCGGGGGAUGACCAGGCAGGAGAGGCUGUGCCAGAGGCAAUUGGGUUCCCCUUCACCAGAGUGUGAAACAGAUUCACAACAAGCCCAGUGGCUGAGGUGAGGCGUCUCUUGGGUCUCAUAACCCAACUCAGCGUACUCUCCCACACU